GAAGACAGAACAUAUACCUAUUUUAUUUUUAUAUUGUCCUUUAAAAAGGUUCUGCUCAAUACCAGAACUGAGUCUGCUUUUUAGUGGUAGUAAACAAGAGUAAAGACAUAUCCCCGGCGUCGGUGUCCCCAGGCACAGGAGACUUGAGAGAAGGUUUUCAGUAACAGAAGCUUUAAACAUAAACAUGAAUUAUUAAUUGCAAACUUCCUAUAAAUUCUACCAGAUUACCAUUCAAAGGCGGUGCAAGUCUAUCAAUGGAGAAUCCCUCUGGGACAGUGAUGAGGAACUAGGUGCAAAGCAGCAUGGGAAGACCUGGGGUAGGCGCGGAUUCCUGGCUUCUACUGAACAAACAAUGCGGAAGAGUUUCAAGAGACAAGUAUGCUCUAUGCUUAACAAAGAAAAAUUCACUCAGAAAGAAGAAAAGGCACUGUUCAUUUCAAAGAAUAAUCCUGGUCGGAGGAUGGAGUCAAAUUGAUGGUGGGCUUGCGUUAGGACCGAAUACCGAAUAACUAGAGCUCAAGCAGAAGCAUCCUACUUCCAGUCAGUUCAGAAUCCCAAACAAAUUAAAGUGGGAAGAAAAGCAUCAUGAAGCAGAAAGUUCUCCCCAUUCUUGCCAGCAGAGCAGGAGCUACCUUGCAGGAGACAAAGAAGGGCCUGAACUAUGUGAUCGUCCUGCAGAGAGGUAUGGUUACAGUGGAAAUGGAGCCUUCUGUGCUGGUCUGCAGGAGGGCUGCUCUGCGGUAGCCCACAUUGGUGUUCUUUCCCUGUGGCUAUAGAGAUGCUAAUUCAGUUGUGUUUUAAUGCAGAAUUUUUGUAGUAACAUCAGCUUUACUAUCUUUCAACUAGAUUUUUUGCAAAUGUGAAUAUUACGGUGAUACUUGGAUUCAUAUUACAAUUUAAAGCAAAUUCAACGUUCAAACAUUUCACUGGACAAGUCUAGUUCCAAAUUGCAUUUUAAUUGAGGUAAAAGUAAAGUAAUAAUGGGUACUGGUGAGCUAUGUAUUUGUCUGAGAUUUGCUAAAUGUGGAAACUUUUAAAAAUAGAUUCUUGGGGCCAGCCGGGUGGCGCAGCGGUUGUUUGCACGUUCUGCUUCUCAGCGGCCCGGGGUUCGCCGGU
ensembl:lncRNA